rnacentral:rRNA from 1 species
UUACGGGAGGCAGCAGUGGGGAAUUUUGGACAAUGGGGGCAACCCUGAUCCAGCCAUUCCGCGUGAGUGAAGAAGGCCUUCGGGUUGUAAAGCUCUUUUGUCCGGAGCGAAACGGUACGGGUGAAUAUCCCGUGCUACUGACGGUACCGGAAGAAUAAGCACCGGCUAACUACGUGCCAGCAGCCGCGGUAAUACGUAGGGUGCGAGCGUUAAUCGGAAUUACUGGGCGUAAAGCGUGCGCAGGCGGUUUUGUAAGCCAGAUGUGAAAUCCCCGGGCUCAACCUGGGAAUGGCAUUUGGGACUGCAAGGCUUGAGUAUGGCAGAGGGGACUAGAAUUCCUGGUGUAGCAGUGAAAUGCGUAGAUAUCAGGAGGAAUACCGAUGGCGAAGGCAGGUCCCUGGGUUAAUACUGACGCUCAUGCACGAAAGCGUGGGGAGCAAACAGGAUUAGAUACCCCGGUAGC